GCAAGACAACACAUUUACUAAAAUUUGAACAAUGCAGAGAAGAUUAGCAAUGGCCCCUGCACAAAAAAGUCAGCAAGUUAAAAAUAAAUGGUCACAGAGUAU